rnacentral:rRNA from 1 species
ACGGGUGAGUAACGCGUGGAUAACCUGCCGUAUACAGGGGGAUAACACUUAGAAAUAGGUGCUAAUACCGCAUAAGCGCACGGUUCCGCAUGGAACAGUGUGAAAAACUCCGGUGGUAUACGAUGGAUCCGCGUCUGAUUAGCCGGUUGGCGGGGUAACGGCCCUCCAAAGCGACGAUCAGUAGCCGGCCUGAGAGGGUGAACGGCCACAUUGGGACUGAGACACGGCCCAAACUCCUACGGGAGGCAGCAGUGGGGAAUAUUGCACAAUGGGGGAAACCCUGAUGCAGCGACGCCGCGUGAGUGAAGAAGUAUCUCGGUACGUAAAGCUCUAUCAGCAGGGAAGAAAAUGACGGUACCUGACUAAGAAGCCCCGGCUAACUACGUGCCAGCAGCCGCGGUAAUACGUAGGGGGCAAGCGUUAUCCGGAUUUACUGGGUGUAAAGGGAGCGUAGACGGCAGCGCAAGUCUGGAGUGAAAUGCCGGGGCCCAACCCCGGAACUGCUUUGGAAACUGUGCAGCUCGAGUGCAGGAGAGGUAAGCGGAAUUCCUAGUGUAGCGGUGAAAUGCGUAGAUAUUAGGAGGAACACCAGUGGCGAAGGCGGCUUACUGGACUGUAACUGACGUUGAGGCUCGAAAGCGUGGGGAGCAAACAGGAUUAGAUACCCUGGUAGUCCACGCCGUAAACGAUGAUUACUAGGUGUCGGGGGGCCAAGGCCCUCCGGUGCCGCCGCAAACG